rnacentral:rRNA from 1 species
AUACGGAGGGGGCUAGCGUUGUUCGGAUUUACUGGGCGUAAAGGGCGCGUAGGCGGUAUGUCAUGUCAGGGGUGAAAGGCCUGGGCUCAACCCAGGAACUGCCUUUGAAACUGGCAAACUAGAGUCCGAUAGAGGAUGGCGGAAUUCCCAGUGUAGAGGUGAAAUUCGUAGAUAUUGGGAAGAACACCAGUGGCGAAGGCGGCCAUCUGGAUCGGCUCUGACGCUGAGGCACGAAAGCGUGGGGAGCAAACAGGAUUAGAAACCCCGGUAGUCC